UGUUUGAUCCUGGCUCAGAGCGAACGUUGGCAGUGUGUCUUAAGCAUGCAAGUCGAACGGCAGCAGGCCAUAUAGCAAUAUAUGGUGCUGGCGAGUGGCGAACUGGUGAGUAACGCGUAAGAAUCUACCCUCUGGUGGGGGAUAACUCAUGGAAACAUGAGCUAAUACCGCAUGAAGCCGAACCCAUAGUGAUAUGAGCUUGGUAAAAGGAGAAAUCCGCCAGUGGAUGAGCUUGCGUCCCAUUAGCUAGUUGGUAGGGUAAGAGCCUACCAAGGCGAUGAUGGGUAGCUGGCCUGAGAGGGUGGUCAGCCACACUGGGACUGAGAUACGGCCCAGACUCCUACGGGAGGCAGCAGCUAAGAAUCUUCCUCAAUGGGGGAAACCCUGAAGGAGCGACACUGCGUGCAGGAUGAAGGCCCUUUGGGUUGUAAACUGCUUUUGUAGGGGAGAAAUAACCGAAUGGGAUGAUAGUACCCUACGAAUAAGUCCCGGCUAA
rnacentral:rRNA from 1 species